rnacentral:lncRNA from 1 species
CUGAUGGUGAAAAACAUUUAUUACAAGGAUGAGCUGGGAAACAGGAGUGAGCCCAAGCCUGCGUGCCUUCAUGUUGCCCCUCUCGGGUAGGGUUCCCUGCUUGUUGAAUGAAGAAUCUCCCUCCUUAGAACCUUUGCUACCACCUGUUAAAUUAAGUUUAGGCUAAAGCUGCCUCCUUACAUAUUUUAAGUUCAGCCUAAAGGUUUCUCCAUACAUAGUGAAGUGUCACCUAACUGGAUAUGUAAACAGACUGUAAUCUAGUCUUGUACCAAUCACUGAGUUUCGGCCAAAGGUGGCCAACUGUUCGAACUGUGUUCAAAUAAGGCAAACACUAUGAUGUAACAAUCCAGCUGUUUCUGUACCCUGGGGGCUGCACAGUAAAUGGAUUAGAUAAAACAAGACCAAAGGUAGGAAAAGUUGGAUAUGUUUGCUGAAGUCUAGAUUAGGGAAGAGGUUCAAGGUAAUGAGGUUAGUAGCAAUGUGGCAAGAUGGUAAGUUCAGCUUUGAACAUGUUGAGGUGCCAACAGGUCAUCUGACUGAACACACCUGGGGAACACUGGUCUGAUGCUUGGAGGAGCAGAUGGGACAUCUAAGAAGAGUGUGGAGAGAGCCGGGCGCGGUGGCUCACACCUGUAAUCCCAGCACUUUGGGAGGCUAAGGCAGGUGGAUCACGAGAGUGCGGUGGUUCGCAGUGAUCAUCAGAGCUGUGGUGCAAUAAGGUGCCAAGCUAUCUGGCUACAUCAGGUGUAAAAUGGGUAGCAGAAAGAAUUUAACCAGCACGGCUAUGUCUUAUCUUGGAAAGUUCAUAGGACAAAAUAUUGGAGAUAAUCAGACUCCCUGAGUAGAAAGAGAAAACAUACAUGUUCUGUUACAUCAGGGAGCAACUAACAAGAUUCUUGACUCUGAACCUUUUAGAGUUCAGUACAUGCUGCAAAUAAGUUGGAUUUGUUUUUCCACUGACAAUUUUUAUUUUAAAAGAGGAAAAGCUGUGUUCAUACUAAGUUUGCUUUUUUUUUCUAACAGUUGAGGCUUGAAGGCAUGAUGCAGCUGGAAACAUUAUUAAAAUGUAUUUUAUGGUAUGCACAUGUAUGCAUAUACUUAUGUAAUGUCCAUAUAUCACAAAUUAAUAAAAAUGUUUGUGUUCAUAAACAUAUGUAAUGGAGACCUUUGCAUCAUUUUGAUCUGUAGAACACAGACAAAUGUUCUUAGCCUAUCUCAAAGUUCUAUGUGUUUACUUAUUAUUUCUGUACAUCAUUUUCAGAAGAAAGGUUUGUUUCCAUAAUAAAAGUGAGCACUUUGGCUUAUGUAGAACUUAGAAAUAAUUGUAAAUUUUACAACUUAAUAUGCACUUCAUGGUGAAAUUUCUCAUCCUAGAGAUUCGCAAGCAAGUAAAAACCAAAUUCAGGCCAGUGGUGUUAACUAGUUUCUAAAAUUUUAUUUGUUUUUAUUUGUAACAAGUCUUUUUCUUAAG